GUCUACAACCAUGCCACCCUGAACAAGCCCGAUCCUGUCUGAUCUUGGAAGCUAAGCAGGGUCAGGCCUGGUUAGUACUUGGAUGGGAGACCACCUAGGAAGACAGGUGCUGUAGGCG
rnacentral:rRNA from 1 species